AAAUAAUUGGCCUCUAAUAUUUCUAAAGUAUAGUCAGCCAUCUCUGGAUUUAUUACAUGCAUACGCAUUUACAUAAUGAUGACUGAAUUUAUACAUCAUGCAUCUUUCCAGACUUUAGGCUUCUUCUCUAGACUUUUAGGCUUUCUUUGAAAAUCACAAGCCUUGUUAUAAAAUGCAAGCGUCUCUAGGCAUGGUUACCAUUUUCUUCCGUGUAAAAAUAAAUGGUGGGAGCAAUAUCCCACUGUCAGCCUGGAGAUGACAGCUUAGUAACCAUUGCUAGUAAAUGCAGGAUUUCUCCUCCAUUGGUCCAAGAGAGAAGAGAUGGCUCCGGAUUUGCUGCCCAACUGUCAUGGCAGCUACUCCAACCUCCAGAAGGUGACAACAUUUGAUGCUGGAACAUUGCUGCCACUACCAUUUAUCUGAUACUGGGAAAAGAUUUUCCCCACCCAGUCCAAGGGUCUUCCAGAGCAUAACUGACAACAUGAUUGACAAGAGUGCUGAGUCACAUCACCUGCAUCUACUGCACAUGUCCUUUCCCAUAAUUCACUUUGUUACAACUGGAUGUAUGAGACGCAGUCCAUGUGCAUGAACCUUCAAUGAGCUCCAGGUGAAGAAAGGUUUCUGCAGGUCAUUGGUGUGUGUGGAUCCUGGUUUAGAAUUUUGGAAUUUUCCCAGGCAGGUUUAGGGAUCUUUGCUUUUCUUAUGUCUGCCUGCAUGUAGUAAGGGGUUGGCCUUGGGUUGUUGCUCAGGUGCAGGUGAGUGGAGGGAAGUGGUCCCAUAGCCCCAGUUGUAGUGUCUAUAUUAGGUUCAAUCCCCAGUGCUAUUGAAAAAAAAAAGUCAUCAUGCCCAGAGAGAUUCUUCAUCACCCCCUGUAGGAGCGGCUCACAGAGAGUCAUUACCUGCAUUAAUAUGACUACUUUUGUUCCUUGCCUAGUUCUCUCUUUCACCUGCCCACUCGUCACCACCUCCCCCACAGCCCAGAAUUUUCUCUCAGGCUAUUGUCAGUUCUCCCACCUGUGAAUUUCCCUAACAAUCGUGUACAACCCAUCUUCAGGUUGACUAGACCCCCACUGCUCUCUGUCCUAUGAAGAGGGGUGUUUUGAAUAUCAUCGGGAUAUUGGGCACUCUCCUGGGAUUCUCUGUGCAUAUAAUAAACACACAUGCUUUUCUCUCCUGCUGAUCUAUUGUCAGUUUAUUUCACAGACUUCAG
rnacentral:lncRNA from 1 species